UACGUAGGGCGCAAGCGUUAUCCGGAAUUAUUGGGCGUAAAGAGCUCGUAGGCGGUUUGUCGUGUCUGCCGUGAAAGUCCGGGGCUCAACUCCGGAUCUGCGGUGGGUACGGGCAGACUAGAGUGAUGUAGGGGAGACUGGAAUUCCUGGUGUAGCGGUGAAAUGCGCAGAUAUCAGGAGGAACACCGAUGGCGAAGGCAGGUCUCUGGGCAUUAACUGACGCUGAGGAGCGAAAGCAUGGGGAGCGAACAGG
rnacentral:rRNA from 1 species